CAGCCUGAACGCUGGCGGCGUGGCUAAGACAUGCAAGUCGCACGGUGUAGCAAUACACAGUGGCGAACGGGUGAGUAAUGAAUCGCUAAUGUACCCCGGACUCUGGGAUAGCUACCCGAAAGGGUAGUAAUACCAGAUGAGACCACGAUCAGGCAUCUGAUUGUGCUCAAGGUCCGCGGUCUGGGAGCAGGCGUAUUUC
rnacentral:rRNA from 1 species